GAAUAGCUCAGUCGGUAGAGCAUUUGACUCUUAAUCUCAAGGUUGUGGGUUCAAGCCCCACAUUGGGCA